AGAUGAAGUCUUCUAAAUAUUCCUAGCCUCAAGUCCGUCUUGUUCUCUUUCUCUUGUCUCCUCCUGAACUUUGAUAACUCUCUGAAUUCUGUGUGUCCUUGGCU
rnacentral:lncRNA from 1 species